rnacentral:rRNA from 1 species
CUGCUGCCUUCCGUAGGAGUUUGGGCCGUGUCUCAGUCCCAAUGUGGCCGUUCACCCUCUCAGGCCGGCUACUGAUCGUCGCUUUGGUAGGCCGUUACCCUGCCAACUGGCUAAUCAGACGCGGGUCCAUCUCAUACCACCGGAGUUUUUACCACUGCACCAUGCAGUGCUGUGGUCUUAUGCGGUAUUAGCAGUCAUUUCUAACUGUUAUCCCCCUGUAUGAGGCAGGUUACCCACGCGUUACUCACCCGUCCG